rnacentral:rRNA from 1 species
AUUGAACGCUGGCGGCAUGCCUUACACAUGCAAGUCGAACGGUAACAGGUCUUCGGAUGCUGACGAGUGGCGAACGGGUGAGUAAUACAUCGGAACGUGCCCGAGAGUGGGGGAUAACGAAGCGAAAGCUUUGCUAAUACCGCAUACGAUCUCAGGAUGAAAGCAGGGGACCGCAAGGCCUUGCGCUCACGGAGCGGCCGAUGGCAGAUUAGGUAGUUGGUGGGAUAAAAGCUUACCAAGCCGACGAUCUGUAGCUGGUCUGAGAGGACGACCAGCCACACUGGGACUGAGACACGGCCCAGACUCCUACGGGAGGCAGCAGUGGGGUAUGUUGGACAAUGGGCGCAAGCCUGAUCCAGCCAUGCCGCGUGCAGGAUGAAGGCCUUCGGGUUGUAAACUGCUUUUGUACGGAACGAAAAGACUCUGGUUAAUACCUGGGGUCCAUGACGGUACCGUAAGAAUAAGCACCGGCUAACUACGUGCCAGCCGCCGCAGUAACAC